CCAGACUCCUACGGGAGGCAGCAGUGGGGAAUAUUGCACAAUGGGGGGAACCCUGAUGCAGCGACGCCGCGUGAGUGAAGAAGUAUUUCGGUAUGUAAAGCUCUAUCAGCAGGGACGAAGAUGACGGUACCUGCAGAAGAAGCCCCGGCUAACUACGUGCCAGCAGCCGCGGUAAUACGUAGGGGGCAAGCGUUAUCCGGAUUUACUGGGUGUAAAGGGAGCGUAGACGGCAGGGCAAGCCAGAAGUGAAAACGCAGAGCUUAACUUUGCGACUGCUUUUGGAACUGCCCAGCUAGAGUACAGGAGAGGUAAGUGGAAUUCCUAGUGUAGCGGUGAAAUGCGUAGAUAUUAGGAGGAACACCAGUGGCGAAGGCGGCUUACUGGACUGAGACUGACGUUGAGGCUCGAAAGCGUGGGGAGCAAACAGGAUUAGAUACCCCAGUA
rnacentral:rRNA from 1 species